GGGUUGGGGGUACCGAGGGUUGUGGUGAAGGUUGGGUCGUGGUGAAGGUUGGGUUGUGCCAAGGGUUGGGUUGUGCCAAGGGUUGGUGGUACCAAGGGUUGGGUUGUGGUGAGGGUUGGGUCAUGGCGAAGGUUGGGUUGUGCUGAGGGUUGGUGGGACCAAGGGUUGGGUUGUGCCGAUGGUUGGGGCGUGGUGAGGGUUGGGGGUACCGAGGGUUGGGUUGUGGUGAAGGUUGGGUUGUGCCGAUGGGUUGGUGGUACCAAGGGUUGGUGGUACCAAGGGUUGGGUUGUGCCGAGGGUCGUGCUGAUGGUUGGGUUGUGGUGAAGGUUGGGUCGUGCCGAGGGUUGGGUCGUGCCGAGGGUUGGUGGUACCGAGGGUUGGGGUACAACCGGUCAUGCCGAUGGUUGUGCCGAUGGUUGUGCCAACACCGCACCCCCCCCCCCUUUACAGCCCCGC